rnacentral:rRNA from 1 species
GCGCACGGCGGCGAGCCGUGUCCGCGGUGGAACUCAGCAUGGCGUGCUUGCACCUCGGGUGCCGUGGCGCCUGUUCCGGCGAGUCUUCUCGGCCGAGGUCAGAGAAGCGUCGGUGGCAGGAGAGCUGCGGUGCCGCCUGCGCGCUUUCCGCCCGGACUCGUCAGCGAGGAUCGCCUCGGGCUCAAAAGAGCGGCGGGGUAGGUGGCCCCGCAUACCUUCCGCACUGCUGGGAACUUAUAGUCCGUCGUCUCGGCUGCGGCCGCGGUCCGAGCGUCGAUCGAGGAGUGUUGCGAGCGUUGUUCGCCGGGGAGGCUCGGUCGGCAACGGGGAGCGUUUGCUCUCCCGUCGGC